AGCUCUCCUCCACCACCG
rnacentral:snRNA from 1 species